UGGCCUGGUGAGAUCCUCAGUGGGGAAAAGCACUCGCCCAUGCAAGACUGGUCACCAGAGUUUGACUCCCAGAACUCACAGUGGAAGGAAAGAACCAACUCCUGAAAUUUCUCUUCUGACCCCCACGUGGCUAAGAGACUGAUCUGCUGCAAUGAACAUAGCCAGGCUGAGACACAGCAGAUGUUGUUAUGGCAAUGAACACAAAUGCGGUCACACUCCACCUGCACUUCAGGUACUCAAUCCAAUGAGGAUGCAUUUGGAGUAAAUCCAGCAGAGCCCAGGGGACUGCUGGUGACAAACCAAGCGCUGGCAAGGAAAAGUCUUCUCACAACAUAGAAGCUGUCAAGAUGUCUGUCACUAGGUGUGAUGAAAAAAGAAAUAGAACUGAGCUUUUUCGCUGCCAGACGCCGAUGAGGUCGCACGCAUGAGACCUGUCCACAGCAGCCAACAUGCCUCUUCCUUCCUUGCCGCCCUUGGGGGCAACUCCUCUCCUAGUGCCAAAGACAUUAAGAAGAUACUAGACCGGAGUACUACUCAGCAGAAAAAAAAAAACAAUGGAAUCUUGAAAUUUGCAGGCAAAUGGAUGA